UUCACUCCUGGAGAGUGAUUUCAUCAUAUUGGUGCGAAAGCAAAGCUUUGCCGGUAUUACGGCUGCGUCUACACUCAGAGUGCUUUGCCAGUACAGCAAACCAGUAUUCCUACACUGGUAAAGCACUCCUUGUCUGUACGUGGCCUGAGUCUGCUGAGACUUCUGGAAACAUCUAGUUCACACAGGGAAUGCUUAAAACUCCAG